AUUGAACGCUGGCGGCAGGCCUAACACAUGCAAGUCGAGCGAGCGGCGGACGGGUGAGUAAUGUAUGGGGAUCUGCCCGAUAGAGGGGGAUAACUACUGGAAACUGUAGCUAAUACCGCAUACUAUCGGAUGAACCCAUAUGGGAUUAGCUAGUAGGUGGGGUAAAGGCUCACCUAGGCGACGAUCCCUAGCUGGUCUGAGAGGAUGAUCAGCCACACGGGAACUGAGACACGGCCCAGACUCCUACGGGAGGCAGCAGUGGGGAAUAUUGCACAAUGGGCGCAAGCCUGAUGCAGCCAUGCCGCGUGUAUGAAGAAGGCCUUAGGGUUGUAAAGUACUUUCAGCGGGGAGGCGUUACCCGCAGAAGAAGCACCGGCUAACUCCGUGCCAGCAGCCGCGGUAAUUC
rnacentral:rRNA from 1 species